rnacentral:rRNA from 1 species
AUGUCCGGAGCGGGAGGCAGGUGGAUGGUCUCCUCCGUCACGGAGGGACACAUCAAGAAGCUGAGGAGAGCCGGAUACCUGCCCGACGACAUCGCGCACCGGCUCCCAGAUGAGGGGCAGCUCAUCCCCACCCCCAGGCCCCAUGAGAGGGUAGUGUUCCUUACCCAUUUCCUCCGUGAACUGGGAUUCCCUCUCCACCCAUUCAUCCGGGGGCUCAUGUUCUACUACGGCCUGGAUUCCAUGAUCUGGCCCCGAACUUCAUCCUCAACAUAUCGGCGUUUAUCAUCGUGUGCGAGGCCUUCCUCCGCAUCAAGCCCCACUUCGGCUUAUGGCUGA